rnacentral:rRNA from 1 species
AUUGAACGCUGGCGGAAUGCUUUACACAUGCAAGUCGAGCGGCAGCGCGGGGGCAACCCUGGCGGCGAGCGGCGAACGGGUGAGUAACAUAUCGGAACGUACCCCGUCGUGGGGGAUAACACAGCGAAAGCUGUGCUAAUACCGCAUACGACCUGAGGGUGAAAGCGGGGGACCGUAAGGCCUCGCGCGAUGGGAGCGGCCGAUAUCGGAUUAGCUUGUUGGUGAGGUAAAGGCUCACCAAGGCGACGAUCCGUAGCUGGUCUGAGAGGACGACCAGCCACACUGGAACUGAGACACGGUCCAGACUCCUACGGGAGGCAGCAGUGGGGAAUUUUGGACAAUGGGGGGCAACCCUGAUCCAGCCAUUCCGCGUGAGUGAAGAAGGCC